rnacentral:lncRNA from 12 species
UCUCUUUGCAUUUCGAUGUUAAGAUCUAAUGUUCUGCCUAGAAUGGCAGAGCUGCAAAUUAUCCUUCAGUCUGCCACUGUGACACACACAUACACACACGCGCACACACAUGCACACACAAUAACAAUCCAGUGUUUUGUCAUGUAGAAAAUCAAAACAAGUUAGAAAGCAUUCAGAUUGUUUCUUUUAAACUCACUUUAAAUUUUUGGCAGGGAAUUCAUGCAUAGCUGAGACUUGGAGGCAGCUUCUGCUAACUUCACACUGUUCCUUAGGCAUCUCGGGAUUUAUAUCAAAAGGCUCUCCACAGCCUGCCGCUGAAGGCGUGAUGUAUGGUGCUCCACUUGAGACCAGAUAUCAGGAUGUUCAGAGGAGAAACCAUCUCUUUGUGUUGGCCCGAGGCCAGUGCUGAGCAAAUUAAAAAGACCGACAUGGGCUUCCACCCUCAUAUCAUUUCAUUCUAAAGCUGCUCGCUUGUCAUAUCCCUGGGGUCCUAUGUUGAUAGAAAUGAAGAGGUAGGGACACAGUUUGUUCUUCAAAAAUUGACUGCACACCUACAUGCUGAGUGACUCUCAGAGAAGGGAUGUCAACAGAAGACUUCUGGGCCUUGGGAUCCAUGGGGAGUCAGCUUUAAGAUCCAAAACCAAAUCAAUUCCUGAUACAUUGGUGUUAAAAGCCCAAGAGGGACUUCCACAUCCUACUGACUCCAACUCCCAGAACUGCAGUGACUUAGAAGAUGCCAAGGAGACUGACAGAGUUGGCUCACAACCCCUGCCUCCAGUGAGGAAUCAUCUCAUUAGGAGUGAAAUGUCCAAGAGACGGGCAGUGUUUCAGGGGAGACUGAGAAGCACAGACGUUCAAACACCUCAUGCUGGCUCUUCACCCCCAGACAAUUCCAGACUGAUUCAAGAUGAAGGUUGAGGGAACAUGCUCACAACUCCUUAGGGAAGCUCAGUGUCAGAAAUAUACAGAAUCAGUAACAGCCUGAAUAGUUAGGUGUAAGGGAUGAUCAAUAGAACCCCUGCUCAAAAACAUCUCCCUUCCUCUCUACUUCUUCCCCAGGUCUCUGGAAUUUUAUCAGCAACUUACUACUUUGGUUCUUAAAGGUUUUAUUUGGUGUUAAAUGAGUCCCCUUGCACCCUUGCACAUUUGCCAGAGAGAGGAAAUGCAGCAGUGGCUGUCACAGGCUAACGUCUUCACACAGAGUUUAUUGGAUUACUCUCUAGCCAUGACUUCUAGCUGAGAAGGAAGUCCUGUAUAAUGGGAUCGUGCAGGGGUGGGGGUUAGGGAGAGUAGGAGUAACUAUGGAGGAGAUAAUAGGGCUCCUCAAAGGGAAGCAGGUCUUUGAAAGGCAAAAAGACAAGGAAUCGAAUAUGUGUCAGGAAAUAUUGAAAAAUUUAAAAAUGGCAUACAGUUUCUGUCCUCAAGAAGAUGGGUAGAGUGGAGACACGUGGACUAUAAGUCUUUGGACCAUUUGAAAUAGCUGACAAGAGCAUGAGGCUCAUGAAACAGGACCAGAGCACUGACAGCAUUCUAGGGACUGAAAUAAAGGCUGAAUGCGUGGGAGGGGUCGGGUCA